rnacentral:rRNA from 1 species
UAGGGAAUCUUCCGCAAUGGGCGAAAGCCUGACGGAGCAACGCCGCGUGAGUGAUGAAGGUCUUCGGAUCGUAAAACUCUGUUAUUAGGGAAGAACAAAUGUGUAAGUAACUAUGCACGUCUUGACGGUACCUAAUCAGAAAGCCACGGCUAACUACGUGCCAGCAGCCGCGGUAAUACGUAGGUGGCCAGCGUUAUCCGGAAUUAUUGGGCGUAAAGCGCGCGUAGGCGGUUUUUUAAGUCUGAUGUGAAAGCCCACGGCACAACCGUGGAGGGUCAUUGGAAACUGGAAAACUUGAGUGCAGAAGAGGAAAGUGGAAUUCCAUGUGUAGCGGUGAAAUGCGCAGAGAUAUGGAGGAACACCAGUGGCGAAGGCGACUUUCUGGUCUGUAACUGACGCUGAUGUGCGAAAGCGUGGGGAUCAAACAGG